rnacentral:snRNA from 1 species
UAUCUUACCUGGCAGGGGAGAUACCAUGAUCACUAAGAUGGUUCUCCCAGGGUGAGGCUCAUCCAUUGCACUCCGGGUGUGCUGACUCCUGCGAUUUCCCCAAAUGCGGGAAACUCGACUGCAUAAUUUGUGGUAGUGGGGGACUGUGUUCGCGCUCUCCCCUA